rnacentral:rRNA from 1 species
UACAGAGACUGCGAGCGUUAUUCGGAUUCACUGGGCGUAAAGGGUGCGCAGGCGGCCAGGUGUGUGGGGCGUGAAAGCCCGGGGCUCAACCCCGGAAUUGCACCUCAAACUACAUGGCUAGAGUACUGGAGAGGGAGACGGAAUUCACGGUGUAGCAGUGAAAUGCGUAGAUAUCGUGAGCAACACCAGAGGCGAAGGCGGUCUCCUGGACAGGUACUGACGCUCAGGCACGAAAGCGUGGGGAGCAAAAGGG